GACGAACGCUGGCGGCGUGCUUAACACAUGCAAGUCGAACGGUAAGGCUCCAGCUUGCUGGGGUACACGAGUGGCGAACGGGUGAGUAACACGUGGGUGACCUGCCCUGCACUUCGGGAUAAGCCUGGGAAACUGGGUCUAAUACCGGAUAGGACCAUGGUGUGGAUACUGUGGUGGAAAGUUUUUUCGGUGUGGGAUGGGCCCGCGGCCUAUCAGCUUGUUGGUGGGGUAAUGGCCUACCAAGGCGGCGACGGGUAGCCGGCCUGAGAGGGUGGACGGCCACAUUGGGACUGAGACACGGCCCAGACUCCUACGGGAGGCAGCAGUGGGGAAUAUUGCACAAUGGGCGGAAGCCUGAUGCAGCGACGCCGCGUGGGGGAUGACGGCCUUCGGGUUGUAAACUCCUUUCACCAUCGACGAAGGGUUUCUGACGGUAGAUGGAGAAGAAGCACCGGCUAACUACGCG
rnacentral:rRNA from 1 species